rnacentral:rRNA from 1 species
UACGGAGGGUGCGAGCGUUGUCCGGAAUCACUGGGCGUAAAGGGCGCGUAGGCGGCGCGGGCAGUCAACGGUGAAAGCUCGGGGCUCAACCCCGAGUCGGCCGUCGAUACUCCCGUGCUUGAGCACUGUAGAGGCAGGUGGAAUUCCGGGUGUAGCGGUGGAAUGCGUAGAGAUCCGGAAGAACACCGGUGGCGAAGGCGGCCUGCUGGGCAGUAGCUGACACUGAGGCGCGACAGCGUGGGGAGCAAACAGG